UACGUAGGGGGCUAGCGUUGUCCGGAUUUAUUGGGCGUAAAGAGCGUGUAGGCGGCCAAGCAGGUCCGCUGUGAAAACUCGAGGCUCAACCUCGAGACGUCGGUGGAAACCGUAUGGCUAGAGUCCGGAAGAGGAGAGUGGAAUUCCCGGUGUAGCGGUGAAAUGCGCAGAUAUCGGGAAGAACACCCGUGGCGAAGGCGGCUCUCUGGGACGGUACUGACGCUGAGACGCGAAAGCGUGGGGAUCGAACAGG
rnacentral:rRNA from 1 species